AGCAGCCGCGGUAAUUCCAGCUCCAAUAGGCGUAUAUUAAAGUUGUUGCAGUUAAAAAGCUCGUAGUUGAAUUUCGGGAUCAAUUUAUUGGUCGUGCUAUCGUACGUACUGGUAUUAUUGAUUCCUACCUUCUGACGAACCAUGAUGUCAUUAAUUUGGUGUCAUGGGGAAUCAGGACUGUUACUUUGAAAAAUUGAGUAGUUUAGAGCAGGCUCACGCUUGAAUACAUUAGCAUGGAAUAACGAAAUAGGACGUUUGAUUCUAUUUUGUUGGUUUCUAGGAUCGACGUAAUGAUUAAUA
rnacentral:rRNA from 1 species